rnacentral:rRNA from 1 species
AACGAACGCUGGCGGCAUGCCUAACACAUGCAAGUCGAACGAGACCUUCGGGUCUAGUGGCGCACGGGUGCGUAACGCGUGGGAACCUGCCCUUAGGUUCGGAAUAACUCCCCGAAAGGGGUGCUAAUACCGGAUAAUGUCUUCGGACCAAAGAUUUAUCGCCUUUGGAUGGGCCCGCGUUGGAUUAGCUAGUUGGUAGGGUAAAAGCCUACCAAGGCGACGAUCCAUAGCUGGUCUGAGAGGAUGAUCAGCCACACUGGGACUGAGACACGGCCCAGACUCCUACGGGAGGCAGCAGUGGGGAAUAUUGGACAAUGGGCGAAAGCCUGAUCCAGCAAUGCCGCGUGAGUGAUGAAGACCUUAGGGUGGUAAAGCUCUUUUACCCGGGAUGAUAAUGACAGUACCGGGAGAAUAAGCUCCGGCGAACUCCGG